GAUGAACGCUAGCGGCAGGCUUAACACAUGCAAGUCGAGGGGCAGCGCGGGAUAGCAAUAUCCUGGUGGCGACCGGCGGAAGGGUGCGUAACGCGUGAGCGACAUGCCCGUUGCCCGGGGACAACCGGUGGAAACGCCGACUAAUCCCCGAUGGGAUAUUGUGCCGCAUGGCACGAUAUUGAAAGUUACGGCGGCGACGGAUUGGCUCGCGUCCGAUUAGCUGGUUGGCGGGGUAACGGCCCACCAAGGCUGCGAUCGGUAGGGGUUCUGAGAGGAAGGCCCCCCACAAUGGGACUGAGACACGGCCCAUACUCCUACGGGAGGCAGCAGUGAGGAAUAUUGGUCAAUGGGCGGAAGCCUGAACCAGCCAUGCCGCGUGCGGGAAGGAGGCCCUAUGGGCUGUGAACCGCUUUUGCCUGGGGGCAAUAAGGGCGUCGCGCACGUCCGAUGAGAGUACCAGGCGAAUAAGCAUCGGCUAACUCCGUG
rnacentral:rRNA from 1 species